UAGAUUAGAGCCCAGAACCUGCUCAGGAGUAGUUUUACUCAAUACUGAGAAACAACGUGUUUAAUGAGCUUCAACAGGAAGAAUAAAUCCACUGUUUGUUUCCCCAGGAGAGCCUGUGACCAUUAGAGUAACAGUCAAUGAGGAUGCCAUUCUGCCAUGCACCGUGAAAAAUCCACAAAGAGUGGAGUGGAAACGCAAUGACCAACUUGUGCACCCCUAUGAAAGUAUAGAAGCCUGUCUAAAAGAUGAAGCAUCAGUGAAGUGGAAACACAAUAACCAAACUGUGCACUUCUAUCGAAGUGAAGGUGAAGAUAAAAAAAGUCAACAUGAGCAAUUCAAAAAUAGAACAUCUCUGUUGUGUGACAGUUAUGGAAACAUUUCACUAAAACUCGACAACGUAACUAAACAGGAUGAUGGAAAUUACACCUGCAGGGCUUUUAUUGGACGACGUCCCAUAAAAUCCAACGUCAACCUCAUUGUUGAGCCAGUGGAGAACAGGAACAAAGGAGGUCAGACUGGUGAUACCAACACAGAGCCAGGUAAGUGCUGUCUUUACUGCAGUCCACAAUGUACACAGAUAUCACUCCUGUUUCUCUCCUCCUUACAAUAUGAACCUGAGAAUGAGCAUAAUAUGACCUCUUUAACCUCAAAAGUAAUCAGAGUAAUUCUGAAUGUAAUGCUUCAUUUGACAGGAUGCCAUUAUAACAAAUAAUGAACUCAUUCAUCAUCUCAGAGCACACUGAUAGAGGACUACUGAAAGGUCCAGUGUGUAACAUUCAGGAGGAUCUAUUGUCAGAAAUGGAAUAUAAUAUUCAUAGGGAUGUUUUCAUUAGUGUAUAAUCACCUGAAUAUGAGAAUCAUUGUGUGUUUGUUACCCAAUGAACUGUCAAUUCAAUUUCAAUUCAAAUGGAUUUAUUGGCAUGACGUAACACUGUACAUAUUGCCAAAGCAAGCGUUUGGAAUUAAAAAUAAUAAUAAUAACAAUAAAGGAAAACAAUAUUUUCCAAUAAAUUAAUUAUAAUAUAUACUGUUGGUAAUACUGUAACUAUGAUUGACUCAAUCACAAUCACAGUCACAAUCAAUCAAUCUCAGUCAAUAAGUAAUUAAUUACAAUGAAUCAAUUAAUCAAUCAGUUUGUGUCAACUAAAAAUGUCAUCAAAACAGUAGUAAAGUAACAGCUACAGUUAAAACAAUUAGUCCAUUGUCAAUAUAACAGUAAUAACAACUUAUUAAAUAUACUAUAUAAUAUAUAUAAUAUUAAAAUAUAUUGAAAUAAAAAUAAAAUAGAUAGAUAAAACUGUAAAUGUGUGUGUGCGUGUGUGUGUAAAUAUAUAUAUAAAAAAAACUAAAAACUAAAAAAUCUAUUAUUUUAUACAUUUAUCUGAGUUUUGAGUUUGAGUCGAGUUUUUGAGUUCUGUCUUUAUCUACAGAGGGAGUGUGUUAAUGUUUGCAACUUUGAUGAGAGUGUGAACGGAUUAUCCGUCAGAAAAAGAGAGAAUUGUGGGAAAAUCAGGUAAAUGUAAAUGUCGGUAAACAACAGUAAGGUUAUGUUGAUGUGUUGAUCUUCCAGAACUCUUCUGGGACCUUUUGUCUGACCAAAGUGAUAGUGAAAUGUAUUUAUUUAUUACGUCUGAUGAACACCAACAGACAGCGCUUAUAAUCAGCUAUGGGGAAAAGAUAACCGCGUUGUGUGCUGCAUUCAUACACUAAAUGAAACAUAACGUAAAGUAUAAGUAGUAUUUUAUAUUUAGGUGUGUCAAAGGAAAUGUGGGGGAUCCGGUUUAAAGGAGCUGAUGCAGAUAUUGUGAGACUUAAAGCUGCAGUCAGUCUGUAGACUGAUGUUUACACUGUAUAGACAAAGCUAAUGUUAUUAUACUGUGAGGACUGGACUAAUUACCAGGCAGCAGAGACAGUUUAUAGUUUGUAUUAAAUCUACAAUGUUAAUGUUAAUAUUCACUUAAUAUUAAUCUCUACCGCUCUCUCCUCUGAGCAUGGGCGCCUCGGGGGGGCUGCAGGAUUAUACAGUGUACACAUCAAAAACUUGUGCAGACUUGAUGUUAAAUUAUGAAAGCUUUACCUGAAUCCCUUCAGUUUUGAUGAUAUGUAUUUGAACCUAACUGCUGUUUCUUGUUUGUUCUUUUGUUUUCCUCGCAUGCAAACUCACAGUUGAUUUGUUCACAUCAACCAAUCACAGCCCUGGCUGGUGAGGAUGUCAUUCUACCAUGUCACCUUGAACCUCCCAUCAGUGUUUCUGAUGAGACAGUGGAGUGGACCAGACCUGAUUUAGAUCCAAAGUACAUCCAUGUUCACAGAGACGGACGAUUUAUGUUUGAAAAUCAAAAUCCAUCUUAUAAUUUCCGGACAAGAGUGUUUGUGGAUGAACUGAUGACAGGAAACGUCUCCAUGAAAAUCUUCAAAGUGAAAGUUUCUGAUACAGGAAGAUACCAAUGUGCCCUUCCCUCAUUACAGAAGGAAGCUUCCAUCCAGCUCAUUGUUGGUAAGUCAGACUGGGUUUUAUAAAGGCAGAACAUUGACUGAGCUCAGUAUUUUAAUUAAAGGAACCAGUGGGGGCAUUAACAGUGCACCUGUUAAUGGGUGCCCCCCCUUC
rnacentral:lncRNA from 15 species